AGCGAACGCUGGCGGCAGGCCUAACACAUGCAAGUCGAACGAAGUCUUCGGACUUAGCGGCGGACGGGUGAGUAACACGUGGGAACGUGCCUUUAGGUUCGGAAUAACUCAGGGAAACUUGUGCUAAUACCGAAUGUGCCCUUCGGGGGAAAGAUUUAUCGCCUUUAGAGCGGCCCGCGUCUGAUUAGCUAGUUGGUGAGGUAAAGGCUCACCAAGGCGACGAUCAGUAGCUGGUCUGAGAGGAUGAUCAGCCACAUUGGGACUGAGACACGGCCCAAACUCCUACGGGAGGCAGCAGUGGGGAAUCUUGCGCAAUGGGCGAAAGCCUGACGCAGUCAUGCCGCGUGAAUGAUGAAGGUCUUAGGAUUGUAAAAUUCUUUCACCGGGGACGAUAAUGACGGUACCCGGAGAAGAAGCCCCGGCUAACUUCGUGCCAGCCGCCGCGGUAAAAC
rnacentral:rRNA from 1 species